rnacentral:rRNA from 1 species
UGCUAGUCGCACGGGUUCAGACCCGUGGCGAAUAGCUCCGUAACACGUGGCCAAUCUACCCUUCAGACGCGCACACCCUCGGGAAACUGAGGCUAAUUCGCGACACGACUCUCAUCCUGGAAUGGCGAGAGACCAAAACGCUCAGGCGCUGAAGGAUGAGGCUGCGGCCGAUUAGGUAGACGGUGGGGUAACGGCCCACCGUGCCAAUAAUCGGUACGGGUUGUGAGAGCAAGAACCCGGAGACGGAAUCUGAGACAAGAUUCCGGGCCCUACGGGGCGCAGCAGGCGCGAAACCUUUACACUGCACGCCAGUGCGAUAAGGGGACUCCGAGUGCGAGGGCAUAUCGCCCUCGCUUUUCUCAACCGUAGGGAGGUUGAGGAAUAAGCGCUGGGCAAGACCGGUGCCAGCCGCCGCGGUAAUACCGGCAGCGCAAGUGAUGGCCGAUCUUAUUGGGCCUAAAGCGUCCGUAGCUCGCCAGGCAAGUCCAUCGGGAAAUCCACCCGCUCAACGGGUGGACGGCCGGUGGAAACUGCCUGGCUCGAGACCGGAAGACCCAACGGGUACGUCCAGGGUAGGAGUGAAAUCCCGUAAUCCUGGACGGACCGCCGAUGGCGAAAGCACGUUGGGAAGACGGAUCUGACAGUGAGGGACGAAAGCUAGGGUCUCGAACCGGAUUAGAUACCCGGGUAGUCCUAGCUGUAAACGAUGCUCGCUAGGUGUGGCACAGGCUAC